rnacentral:piRNA from 1 species
UGGAAUGUGGGCAGAAGCGACAGCAGCCA